GCCAACAUAGCUCAGUGGUUAGAGCGGGCGUUUCAUAAGCGCUAGGUCGCAGGUCCAAUUCCUGCUGUUGGCA
rfam:Candidate division WWE3 bacterium GW2011_GWB1_44_4 TW65_C0004, whole genome shotgun sequence.